UACGGGGGGGGCAAGCGUUGUUCGGAAUUCCUGGGCGCAAAGGGCUCGUAGGCGGCCAACUAAGUCAUACGUGAAAUCCCUCGGCUUAACCGGGGAACUGCGUCUGAUACUGGAUGGCUUGAGUUCGGGAGAGGGAUGCGGAAUUCCAGGUGUAGCGGUGAAAUGCGUAGAUAUCUGGAGGAACACCGGUGGCGAAGGCGGCAUCCUGGACCGAUACUGACGCUGAGGAGCGAAAGCCAGGGGAGCAAACGGG
rnacentral:rRNA from 1 species